GUCGCCACGAGGGGGCGCCAAGUGAGCGUUCGCUAUGGCGACGGGUGAAAAUGUCUCUUGAUACGCUGUAUUUUGUAAAAAUUAUAAAAAGAAAACGCUUCAUUUAUCAUUUUUUACGUUUCCAAAAGACGCAGAAAAGUACUGUAUUUGCUUUGCUUAGUUAGGAAUACGAAUCUAAUAUUAUGUUGAGACGUAAUUUACGUGGAAAAAUUAUAUGACUUGUGUUUACAGACGAACUCAAUGGUUGGAUUUUGUCAAAAGAGUCGAUCUGCUAGACAAAUCUCCGAAAAUGUUACGUAGAAACUAUCAGGUAUGUGCAGCCCACUUUGAAGACGACCACUUUAUGAAUAAGACGAAAAAUAAACUUGUUUGGGAUGCUCUUCCAGCUAUUGAAAGAAAUCCAUCUUGGAAAGAUGUAAAAAGGUAGAUCUGCAACAAUUUGAUAAUGGUGAAAUCAAAACUAUUUUGAAUUCAUCUGAAAAUAUUCAGAAUAAUAUCAAUAUGUCAGAUGGCAUAUCUAAAAUCAGUCAACAGUAUUCUGAGGAAUAAUUUCAACAGAAAUAUCACCCAAGAAAAAGAGAUUUAUCUCAUCUAAUCCAUCACCAAGGACUGAGCAUUUAACAUCAUAUAAGCUUUUACGAGGGCUGUUCGAAAAGUUCGCGGCCUUGCCUAUAUGCGGCGCUGCGAUCAAUUUAAUUUUUGGCGGGAAUAAUGCAGCCAUCCUUGCUAAAGAUACGAUACCAAUUUCCGCUUG